rnacentral:rRNA from 1 species
GUGGGGAAUCUUCCGCAAUGGACGAAAGUCUGACGGAGCAACGCCGCGUGAGUGAAGAAGGUUUUCGGAUCGUAAAGCUCUUUCGUUAGGGACGAACGUGCUCUUUGUGAAUAAUGAGGAGUAAUGACGGUACCUAAAUAAGAAGCCACGGCUAACUACGUGCCAGCAGCCGCGGUAAUACGUAGGUGGCAAGCGUUGUCCGGAAUUAUUGGGCGUAAAGCGCGCGCAGGCGGGAUAUCAAGUCUGUCUUAAAAGUGCGAGGCUCAACCUCGUGAGGGGACAGAAACUGGUAUUCUUGAGUGUCGGAGAGGAAAGUGGAAUUCCAAGUGUAGCGGUGAAAUGCGUAGAGAUUUGGAAGAACACCAGUGGCGAAGGCGACUUACUGGGCCGUAACUGACGUUGAUGCGCGAAAGCGUGGGGAGCGAACAGGAUUAGAUACCCUAGUAGUCC